rnacentral:rRNA from 1 species
GCUCAGUAACACGUGGACAAUCUGCCCUCGGGAGGGGGAUAACCCCGGGAAACUGGGAAUAAACCUCCAUAGACCAUGGAUGCUGGAAUGCUUCAUGGUUGAAAUUCCGAAAGGAGCCCGAGGAUGAGUCUGCGGCCUAUCAGGUAGUAGUGAGGGUAACUGCCUCACUAGCCUACGACGGGUACGGGCCUUGAGAGAGGGAGCCCGGAGAUGGACUCUGAGACAUGAGUCCAGGCCCUACGGGGCGCAGCAGGCGCGAAAACUCCGCAAUGCUCGAAAGAGCGACGGGGGGACUCCGAGUGCCUACACUUAGUGUAGGCUUUUCUCAAGCCUAAAAAGCUUGGGGAAUAAGGGCUGGGUAAGACGGGUGCCAGCCGCCGCGGUAAUACCCGCAGCCCGAGUGGUGGCCGCGUUUAUUGGGCUUAAAGCGUCCGUAGCCGGUCUAGUAAAUGCCUAGGUAAAUCGUCUGGCUUAACCAGGCGAAUUCUUGGUAGACUGCUAGACUAGGGACCGGGGGAAGGAGAGGGUACUCCGGGGGUAGGGGUGAAAUUAGCAGAGCACCACUGAUGAUGUGAAUUGCUCUGCAGGUCACAAUCCUGUAAUCCUCGGAGGACCACCAGUGGAGAAGUCGCUCUCCUAGAACGGGUCCGACGGUGAGGGACGAAAGCCAGGGGAGCAAACGGGAUUAGAUACCCCGGUAGUCCUGGCCGUAAACGAUGUGGACUUGACAUUGGGAUGGCUAUGAGCCACCCCGGUGUCGGAGGGAAACCGUUAAGUCCACCGCCUGGGGAGUACGGUCGCAAGGCUGAAACUUGAAGGAAUUGGCGGGGGAGCACCGCAACGGGAGGAGCGUGCGGUUUAAUUGGAUUCAACGCCGGGAAGCUUACCAGGGGAGACUGCCGUAUGUGGGCCAAGCUGAAGACUUUGCCCGAACAAUAGGCAGAGAGGUGGUGCAUGGCCGUCGUCAGCUCGUACCGUGAGGCGUUCUGUUAAGUCAGGUAACGAGCGAGACCCCCGCUCCUAUUUGCAAUCCAGAAGUCCGCUUCUGGAGCACAAUAGGAGGACCGCCAGCGCUAAGCUGGAGGAAGGAGGGGGCGACGGUAGGUCAGUAUGCCCUGAAUCCCUUGGGCUACACGCGCGCUACAAAGGCUGAGACAAAGGGUCGCAACGCCGAAAGGCGAAGCUAAUCCCUAAACUCAGUCUUAGUUCGGAUCGAGGGCUGAAACCUGCCCUCGUGAAGGUGGAUUCCGUAGUAAUCGCAGGUCAACAUCCUGCGGUGAAUAUGCCCCUGCUCCUUGCACACACCG